rnacentral:rRNA from 1 species
UCCGUAGCUGGUUCUGAGAGGAUGAUCAGCCACAUUGGGAUUGAGACACGGCCCGAACUCCUACGGGAGGCAGCAGUGGGGAAUAUUGGACAAUGGGGGCAACCCUGAUCCAGCCAUGCCGCGUGUGUGAAGAAGGCCCUCGGGUUGUAAAGCACUUUCAGCGAGGAAGAACGCCUAGUGGUUAAUACCCGUUAGGAAAGACAUCACUCGCAGAAGAAGCACCGGCUAACUCCGUGCCAGCAGCCGCGGUAAUACGGAGGGUGCAAGCGUUAAUCGGAAUUACUGGGCGUAAAGCGCGCGUAGGUGGCUUGAUAAGCCGGUUGUGAAAGCCCCGGGCUCAACCUGGGAACGGCAUCCGGAACUGUGAGGCUAGAGUGCAGGAGAGGAAGGUAGAAUUCCCGGUGUAGCGGUGAAAUGCGUAGAGAUCGGGAGGAAUACCAGUGGCGAAGGCGGCCUUCUGGACUGACACUGACACUGAGGUGCGAAAGCGUGGGUAGCAAACAGGAUUAGAUACCCUGGUAGUCCACGCCGUAAACGAUGUCGACCAGCCGUUGGGUGCCUAGAGCACUUUGUGGCGAAGUUAACGCGAUAAGUCGACCGCCUGGGGAGUACGGCCGCAAGGUUAAAACUCAAAUGAAUUGACGGGGGCCCGCACAAGCGGUGGAGCAUGUGGUUUAAUUCGAUGCAACGCGAAGAACCUUACCUACCCUUGACAUCGACAGAAGCCUGGAGAGAUCCGGGUGUGCCUUCGGGAACUGUCAGACAGGUGCUGCAUGGCUGUCGUCAGCUCGUGUUGUGAAAUGUUGGGUUAAGUCCCGUAACGAGCGCAACCCUUGUCCUUAUUUGCCAGCGCGUAAUGGCGGGAACUCUAAGGAGACUGCCGGUGACAAACCGGAGGAAGGUGGGGACGACGUCAAGUCAUCAUGGCCCAUACGGGUAGGGCUACACACGUGCUACAAUGGCCGGUACAAAGGGCGGCGAGCUCGCGAGAGUCAGCGAAUCCCUUAAAGCCGGUCUCAGUCCGGAUCGGAGUCUGCAACUCGACUCCGUGAAGUCGGAAUCGCUAGUAAUCGUGCAUCAGAAUGGCACGGUGAAUACGUUCCCGGGCCUUGUACACACCGCCCGUCACACCACGU